rnacentral:rRNA from 1 species
GAUGAACGCUGGCGGCGUGCCUAAUACAUGCAAGUCGAGCGAACAGAUGAGGAGCUUGCUCCUCUGACGUUAGCGGCGGACGGGUGAGUAACACGUGGAUAACCUACCUAUAAGACUGGGAUAACUUCGGGAAACCGGAGCUAAUACCGGAUAAUAUAUUGAACCGCAUGGUUCAAUAGUGAAAGACGGUUUUGCUGUCACUUAUAGAUGGAUCCGCGCCGCAUUAGCUAGUUGGCAAGGUAACGGCUUACCAAGGCAACGAUGCGUAGCCGACCUGAGAGGGUGAUCGGCCACACUGGAACUGAGACACGGUCCAGACUCCUACGGGAGGCAGCAGUAGGGAAUCUUCCGCAAUGGGCGAAAGCCUGACGGAGCAACGCCGCGUGAGUGAUGAAGGUCUUCGGAUCGUAAAACUCUGUUAUUAGGGAAGAACAAAUGUGUAAGUAACUAUGCACGUCUUGACGGUGCCUAAUCAGAAAGCCACGGCUAACUACGUG